rnacentral:rRNA from 1 species
UAAGGAAUAUUGGUCAAUGGACGCAAGUCCGAACCAGCCAUGCCGCGUGAAGGAUGAAGGUCCUCUGGAUUGUAAACUUCUUUUAUCUGGGACGAAAACGGGAUUUUUAUCUCAAUUGACGGUACCAGAGGAAUAAGCACCGGCUAACUCCGUGCCAGCAGCCGCGGUAAUACGGAGGGUGCGAGCGUUAUCCGGAUUUACUGGGUUUAAAGGGUGCGUAGGUGGGCUUAUAAGUCAGUGGUGAAAUCUCCGAGCUUAACUUGGAAACUGCCUUUGAUACUAUAGGUCUUGAAUUAUCUGGAGGUAAGCGGAAUAUGUCAUGUAGCGGUGAAAUGCUUAGAUAUGACAUAGAACACCAAUUGCGAAGGCAGCUUACUACAUAUAAAUUGAUGCUGAGGCACGAAAGCGUGGGGAUCAAACA